GAUGAGAGCAGGAGCGAGAAAGAGCGGAGCGAGCGAGUGAGAAAAGAUGACAGUAAUGCCAUAUAAAUCGGUCGCAUCGUGAAGGAUGAUUAAUGCCGUAUAAGUGUUUGGGGCAACAGCGCAGCCAACGGAUUGCAAUAGCAAGACUGUUGUUGCCGAUGUGAAUCUUCGUCCUUCGGAUUCUUUAUGUGUGAGAACCGCUGACCCUAAGAGUUGCCGCGACACACAUGCUGGAAAUUUGUUCGGCGGGAAUUUACGAGCGAGUUUCCGUGUCAGAUCCAAUACCGUGUGGACUCCAUUGGUGGGAUCCAUCUGGGAUUUCUAUGUAUACCUGCGGUGAUGAAUUUCCACGACGGCGGCGGGAAGGGACGGAGGGACGACGAGGGGGCUGCAAGACGCGUCGUCGCGACAUAUAGAGACGCUUUUCGAUGUCACGAGAAUGGAGAAUCAGGAUCGAAGGAAAGGAGGAGACUCUGUGCGCCGAGAGUGGUUGGAGAACGACUGAAGGGAUGAGCUUCGAGAAAUAAGGUAAGGAUAAUCGAAGCAAUCGAACGGUGCCAUUCGUGGGAGACCGA